rnacentral:rRNA from 1 species
UACGUAGGCAGCGAGCGUUGUUCGGAGUUACUGGGCGUAAAGAGUGCGUAGGCGGUUUUCUAAGUUUGGUGUGAAAUCUCCCGGCUUAACUGGGAGGGUGCGCCGAAGACUGGAAGGCUUGAGUAUGGGAGAGGUAAGCGGAAUUCCUGGUGUAGCGGUGAAAUGCGUAGAUAUCAGGAGGAACACCAAUGGCGAAGGCAGCACUCUGGGACGUGACUGACGCUGAGACGCGAAAGCGUGGGGAGCAAACAGG